rnacentral:rRNA from 1 species
CCUACGGGAGGCAGCAGUAGGGAAUCUUCCACAAUGGGCGAAAGCCUGAUGGAGCAACGCCGCGUGAGUGAUGAAGGCCUUCGGGUUGUAAAACUCUGUCAUUCGGGACGAACCGGAGUCUGAGGAAAUGCAGACUCUCUGACGGUACCGGAGGAGGAAGCCCCGGCUAACUACGUGCCAGCAGCCGCGGUAAUACGUAGGGGGCAAGCGUUGUCCGGAUUCACUGGGCGUAAAGCGCGCGCAGGCGGUGAUGUAAGUCUGAGGUGAAAACCCGAAGCUCAACUUCGGGACUGCCUUGGAUACUGCGUCACUUGAGGAUAGGAGAGGCAAGGGGAAUUCCACGUGUAGCGGUGAAAUGCGUAGAGAUGUGGAGGAACACCUGUGGCGAAGGCGCCUUGCUGGCCUAUUUCUGACGCUGAGGCGCGAAAGCGUGGGGAGCAAACAGGAUUAGAUACCCUGGUAGUCCACGCUGUAAACGAUGAGUGCUAGGUGUAGGUGGGCUCAUACCCAUCUGUGCCGAAGCUAACGCAUUAAGCACUCCGCCUGGGGAGUACGGUCGCAAGACUGAAACUCAAAUGAAUUGACGG